GAGCGGCUCUCGCUGCAGCUCGGAGGCGCUGCGGCUACAUCUGCAUCUCGGUGGCCCGGCAGAUUGGAGGCACAACGGCUCGCUGGCUCCAUGUGCAUCUCGGCGGACCAGCAGCUCGGAGCUGCGGAAGCGGGUAUGUCGCCGCCGUUGCUCGUAUCGGCUAGCCAAAUCCUCGCAGUUGCUGCUGUUGCUCCCCGUGGAAGGUGGCGUAUAUUUUGGCUGUGCUGGCACUCCCUGAAGCUGAUGACUUUCGACUGUAAGCGAGGCUCCAGCAAGACCACGGUGGCCGCCGUUGCCCCUCAGGUAAAAACUAACCUCCUUCAUUGUUUGAUGAAUCUAUAGAAUUUUUUGUGAUUCAAUUCCACUGUAGCACGAGGGGCACCAUUAUCUGCUCUUUUGCCAAGAUUAGUGGAACGGCAAAGUACAUCUUCAUUUUCUGAAAAAUAGAACAAAAAACAAAACAAGAUGCAGGGAGUGAGCACUCGUAGAAGUAAACUCCAAAAGGAGAAACUCAUGGUCUCGUCAUUUACAAUAGGCCCAGUUGGAAAAUGGCCUGUCAGGCCGUCGACGUUGCUGACGUGGUGCACCGGCCAACAUUAUUGGUGAACUGUUGUCGGAGUUGAACUUGUUCAUGAACAGUGAUGGAAAGCGUCCCUAAGGCCUGAACGAACUGAGCAUAGUCGGAGAACAAAUAAGCAUUUUAACAUAAGGGCAUCACAUAAUUAGUUACAAAAUCUGAAUUCAAAAACUAUGCUAGAUCUGCAGUUUUUUUCAUGCAUCAUCUGAGUUAACUAUACUUUAUGCGCAGCAGCAGCCUGAAGCCAAAAGAAUGCAAAACUGUACAAACUAAGGUAAAAACAUGUCCAGAUCCUAAUAACUUUGAAAGUCUGAGUCCUAAUAGAACAGUUCAAAUAGUUAAUAGUCAGAAGAGGCUAAUUAAGGUACUUGUAUAAGGUACUUAACUGGGCAUACAUAAUAUCUAGGAUCAAAGAAUUUAGAUAAGAUGCCAAGGGUUCGUCAUUCUAUAAAUGGAACUCACCUGAACACUAAAGCCAUGGUUGUCAUUGCAUAGCUCUAGAUUAAAUAAUAAGGGCCAUACCAAAAAAUUUAUGCAUUAGUGCAUGAACGAAGAGAAAAUAAAAUGACUCUAUAAUGUCCCAUGCUAUAUGAACACCAAAUCAGGGCAACAGAAGAUCACCCAUACAAAAGAUGGAACUAUGUGAGUAUAAAUUUUCAGGAAAACAAUAGUAUGAUGAGAUGCAUUGUGCAGUAAGGAUUAUAAGCUCAUGUAUGUACAUUUGAACAAAUAGAUGAUUAAGAAAAGGGAACAUGCAACAAAAAAAGAUUUCGAAAAGUAGUAGUAAUUUUACCUCUGUAACAGAGGAAGUACAAAAAUGUAUUGGUUGGCAUUUCCUCCGGUUGGCGAAUUGCCUGGGAUAAAAAAACAGUAGCUAUAAUGAUGGUGUUACUUUCUUGUGCAAGCACCAAAACUUCGCCAAAAAGUAAAAUAUACCGGGAGCAUUACCUUUAUUUUCCCUAUAAUCCUUGCCCUUGCUUCUAGAUUAUAUGAUGGCGGUGCAAGCUAGCCAACAUCUUCAGAUUAGUCCAUCCAAAAAGCACCCCAAAGGUAACAGUUGGAUUGAUUGUAUCAUUCCUGAAACACCAUUUCAGAAAUUCAGUUGGUGCUUAAUAGUAAAUAGAAGUGCAGGACAUGCUUAUCACACUUACUUAGGACUCAUAGGCCUUAUCCAAUCCCUCUCCAAAGCAAAUCAUCUAUUCGAUGUGAAAUAGGCAAGAGGUAGGCAAAAAUGCUAUAUACCAAAGAGUAUACGUCAAUCUAAACUGAAGUAUUGCUCACAAGGAACAGAGUAUGAUAACAUGUCGUUGCUCACUCUAAAAAUAAAAUAAGUUGUUGGAAAGGAGGGGGGGCUAUUUUAUUUAUACAGUCUAGUUUAGUGAUUUAGUACAAAUAAGAACAUGUCCAAACCUGAUAGGCACGACAAUCUCAAAUCUAUGGGGUCAGUUUGGUUAGAUCAGGAUGAGCAGAAACAAAAUGCACCAUAUACAUUUUCAGUUUAAUCAACAGAUGUGCUAUUCUCUGAAUAUGAACAUCACACGGCCAAUUUCUAAUAGUACCCUACUUUUUCUGUAUGGCUCCUGUGAUUUUUGAGUGCAAACCGAUGAGAUUAGCUUAACUAAAUUAUCUUAGAAUCCCAUAGAGACUACAGCAGCAGCAAGAAAGCAUUAUGGUUCUUCCCUAAAAAAAUAAAGCAUCAUGGUUAAACUUAUGCAAUUACCAACGCCUAUUUUAUUUAAACAGAAGAAACUUAAAUUAACUACAGUCUCUCACAAUGCCAUUAAUUAGAGACUACAACAGCGGCAAGAAAGCAUCACGGUUUAUGUUUUGCAACUAACAAAAUGUGAGCUCGUGCGAACAAAAGAUAGUAAAUUAUUCAGCCUAGGAUCAUGGUUCAGUAUACAACUUUGCGUAACCUCAUAUGUUUUUAAAGUUCAACUUUGCAUAACGUUGCUUUUCUUACGACAUUGCAUAGUAUACCCUGCCAAAAAAACAUUGUAUAGUGUCUUUUAAAACAAAGGAGGAAUAUUGUGCGAUGAAAAAACACUCCGUGGGUACUUAUAUCUAACAAAUGGCAUAUUGUUACAUAGUAUGAAAUUUUUCUAAGUCGUUACAAAUACUAUUGAACUUUGGUUCAAAAAACAGAUACUAGUAUUAAACCACUAGCUCGGGAGAAAAGAUCCACAUGGACUCAAAGUAUUCAAUGUCCCUCCAUGUCUUGCUCAUAGUUUGUGACUUCAUGUUGUAUUUCUCCCCCGUGUCGAUAAAAUGAAUAGCAUCUUGGUCCGCCUCAUCACAAGUUGAAACAGACUUGCAGAAGAAUCUGCUGAUGAAAAGCGUUUGGCUGCCUAGCCCACCAACAAUCGGCACCCAGCGGUGGACACCUUUGCAGGCAUCCGCCUCAUAAACCUCUACCUUGAGAGUGAAGCUGAUAUUAUAGGAGGGCACUCGAACUUGUUGUAUCACCAUUAAUAGUUUUCCACCUGACUCGACUAAGUACCAGUGGUCCCUAACUUCAUCCUCAUCAUCCGACCAAGGAGUAACGCCUUCAAGAAUCAUGUCAUCGCCGGUUUUCUUCCGGCGUUGCUCUAUGGUGUCCUCUUUGCUCUGUUCCUCAUUAUUGGCGACCUCAUCUAUAUUUCCCGUAUCAUUGUUCGCGGAGUCAAAAUUUCCAUUAUCAUCGCUCCACACUUUGAACCAAUAAUUUCCCGGUGGGUGCCUGAUGAGGCGCUCGAUAGUGAUGGUGGGUACGCCUUUGUUGUCGAAAUCUAUACCAAAAGAGACAAGAUCCUCGGCGUGAGUGAUUCCAUAUAGCUUGUCUCCAAGAAAUGCAGUGUCGACGAUGUAGAUGAAGGGAGCACUUUGUGGCUUAGGCAACCACACACCUUUCCCUGGCCGGAUCAAGAUGAUAGGAUAAUUCCAAUUAUUGGUCAUGACGACUAUAAUGUCGUAAGGGGUCGUCCGCAUACGCAGUUUGUGGACCCCGAAAAGCUCAGAAGCAUGGCCGAUCACAGCGUCAAACUCUGGAAGCGGCACAGUCGUGUUGGUGAAGGGAUCAUGCAAGAAGUAGCUAUGCGUCUUCCUCCUGACAUCCGUGCGGUCGAGGAGGAGGCAACUAUCAGCCGAGGCUACGCAUCUCGCGUUCCUGGGCAAGGAGGGGAUGCGCGCGGGCGAGGUGCCGGCGGCGUCCGAAGGUGUGAGGAACGAGCCAUCAGACAUGACAAUCCAGGGGAUCUGCCUUGGAGCCGGAACGUGCCGGCUCAUAGCCAAGUGCCACGAACGACACACGGCGCGCCGGGCACGAUCGGCAGAGGCCGAGUGCCGGGCACGGCGCGCCGCCUCGAAGCCAUCGGAGAAGUGGAGGAGCCGGCGUAGUCCAGACCACGCCGUGGAGACGAGGCCACACCGAUCAAUGGAGGAAACGAGGCCGUCGAUGAUGAGGUGUAGCACGUCCUCGGGAAUUUCAGACAACGGCGACGCCAUUGAUUGAUUGAUGCAAGGUCUCGUGAUUGAUGCAGCUCUCUGGAUCUCUCUGAAUCGCGUGAAGCGUGAUAGUCGGUGCCCCGUAGUCCUGUUUUGGUGGUUUGUUCCGAUCGUAUGCAUAUAUAUAUAUGGAACGGCAUAGGACUAUCCCGAAACGGCCUGGUACCCUUUUUUUUUGGUUCCGAAACGGAGUAGUAAUCCGGAGGCCAGCUGAGUUCGCCGUAGUCAACUCUCUCACCCCAGCGAAGGAAUCGAGGAGGCGCGGCCAGAGUCGAGCACCGCGAACCCUACUUCUCCGCCGUCUGCCACGGGCCACGGCUGCCGUCGAUGACCGCGACGCCGUCUUCCCGAGCUCUGGCCGCCGUGCCGUCGACCAUGGCGCUGCCGCCGCUGCUCCUCCGGCCUCCCCGAUCCUUCCGUUGCACUCCUGGUGAGCAGGCAAACCUCCCCAGCCCUUCCUCUCUCUCAACCGCGUCCUGGAACAUCACCGCGCCGUGCGCCGCCUCAGAUGCUUGUCGCCGGCGUCGUUCCGGCGACUCAGAAGUAGCAGCGCCGCCCUAGCUAGGUUCGGCACGAGCCCGUGCUUCGACCACGCCACUUCGCGCGUUCCCCGGUGGUCUGCUCCGCCGUCGCUGGCGUCGGUCACCGGCCGGUCGCCGGGGAUGACCUGGCCUGGAGGGUCCUCCGCCUGACCGUUGACCCGGGCCCGUGGUCUGCUUGCGUGGCACGCUGACCCAGGGGUCAGUGACUCUGGGCACCACUGCUAUGUACCACUUAUAUAUCACAAUGUUAUGUAUUUUAAGCUCUAUAUUUCAGUAUCAUUUUCAUGCACAUUUGAAUAACUUGAAUUUUGAGCGUAUUUAGGAAUUCAAAUAAUUAAAUCAAUUUUUGUUAUUGUUUAUGGUUUUAUGGAAAUGCUAUAAUUAAGAAUUCCAAUCCUAAUUAAUAUGAUUGGCAUGCCGUAGGGUUAAUUCAUGUCAUCGUAUUGUUCGUGCAUUGCAUCGAUGCCAUGGUUGAUUGUCGUUUUCCUUGGUUUUGGUGUUUCUGGUUCCUCCUGGUAGAAUCUAGAGUCGAUGUGAGCCAUGAGUCCGAUGAUCAAGAUCAAGAUGGUCAACACCAGUGAACAAGUUCGGAACAGAGAUCGACACAAUCAAAGAGUUAUUAAUCAAUAUUAGCAAGUAAGAGGGUGUUUGGUUUAGGGACUUUUUAGUCCCAGAGACUAGAAAAAGUCCCUAAAAAGUCCCUAGGAACCAAACGAGAGGGACUUUUUUUGCAGGGACUAGAAAAAGACUCUACUGGAGAGUCUUUUUUGAUUAGUCCCUGAGACUAGAAAAAGUCCUAGGACUUCUGAACCAAACACCCCCUAAGGAGGCAACCACCGCCUGACCUUGUGAACCCUGUUGUCAAAGUAUUUUAUUAUCGCAGCAGCAAGCAUGCGCUUCAACUGUCGUUUAUCGUCUAUGGGCAGGUUUUUUUUUGAAAAGGGGGAUUCCCCGGCCUCUGCAUCAGAAAGAUGCAUACGGCCAUCUUAUUAACCAAAUAAAGUAGUGCCAACAUGGUUCCAAAGGUCUCCAAAAGUAAUAAAAAAACACAGAAAGCUCACACAGAGCCAAUAAGGGCUAGAAACACCAACUAGCCAAGAAAAGACGCUACAACCGGCUGGCUAAAACUAGAUAGGGAAACUAAUUGUCUAUCCUAUUACAUGACCGUCAUCCAAACCGGUUGAAGAUAUCCCAAACUACCAUCUCCCAGCGGAAAGACCCAGUAACCAAAUGCUUGGGUGAGUAGCGACCACGAACGGAUUAGAGCCGUAGUUCGGAAUAUGACCUGCAAAAGAUGUAUACAUGAUAUUCUGUUAAAAACCAAAUCAUUUCUGCAAGUUCAGAUAGUCCACAGCAAAGCACAAACUCCAACCCGAAUAUGUCUCGCUAAGUCAGGCUCAAUCCCAUUAAGCCAUGUCCCAAAUAACGCAUUAACAGAAUUCGGUGGAUUGAUAUUAAAAGCAAUGUGGACCGUCUGCCAAAGUACCUUGGCCAACGGGCAAUCAAAAAAGAGGUGUUUGAUAGUCUCAUCCCGAUCGCAGAAACUACACCUAGUAGGUCCUGUCUAAUUACGCUUUAUCAAGUUGUCCUUAGUUAAAAUAACUUGUUUAUGGACAAACCACAUAAACACUUUUAUUUUCAAAGGAACUUUGACAUCCCAAACAUGCUUGGACAUAGGAAUGGAGUUCAAAUUAAUAACAUCAAUAUACAUUGAUUUAACCGUGAAUACUCCAGACUUAGUCAAUUUCCAGUGUAAUUCAUCGGGUUGUUGUGAAAACUGGACCUCCAUCAAUCUUCUAACUAUACGGAGCCAUUCUUCCCAACGAUUGCCCGCUAGCGUUCGUCGAAACUGAAUAUUAAGGGGGUAGAUUGAAAGACCGAUGCGACGAACACCUCAUGUCGUUAAACAAUACGGUAUAAAGACGGAUAUUGGAUGGCCAAGGGUGUCUCGCCGAGCCAAGUAUCCUCCCAGAAACGUGUACUCGUGUCGUUUCCAAUAACAAACUUCGUCCUAUUAAACAAGGACUGUUUGACUUUCAUCAGGCCUUUCCAGAAAGGUGAAUCGGUCAGCCUGACUGUAACCUGGGACAAAGUUUUUGUCUGGAGGUACUUACUGCGAAGGAUUUGAGCCCACAUAGCAUCAUUCUCCGAGGAGAGCUUCCACAACCACUUGCUAAGAAGGCAUUUAUUCUUAACUUCUAGAUUCUCAAUACCUAGACCCCCUUGGUCUUUCGGUCUACAGAUGAUAUCCCAUUUGGCAAGCCGAUAUUUUCAUUUAAGCUCAUCACCCUGCCAAAAGAAACGUGAUCGAUAGAAGUCCAGUCUCUUCCUAACACCAACUGGGACCUUAAAGAACGAUAGGAGAAACAUUGGCAUACUCGUGAGCAUCGAAUUAAUCAGGAUUAAUCGGCCUCCGUAUGACAUGAGCUUACCCUUCCAGCAACUCAUUUUCUUCUCAAAUCGGUCCUCGAUGCACUUCCACUCUCUGUUUGUCAGCCUACGAUGGUGGAUUGGAAUCCCCAGGUAAGAGAAGGGUAACUCUCCUAACUCACACCCAAAUAAUUGCCUAUAAGCAUCCUGUUCGUCUUUGGCCCUACCAAAACAGAACAGCUCGCUCUUAUGAAAGUUAAUCUUUAACCCGGUCAAUUGUUCAAAUAGGCAUAACACAAGCUUCAUAUUUCUCGCCUUGGCCAAGUCAUGCUCCAUAAAGAUGAUUGUAUCAUCAGCGUACUGAAGGAUGGAUACACCUCCAUCAAUAAGAUGAGGUACCAAUCCACCUACUUGACCAUUUUCCUUAGCCCUUCCUAUCAAAAUUGCUAACAUAUCCACCACAAUGUUAAACAGUAUAGGGGACAUCGGAUCUCCUUGUCUUAGACCUUUAUGUGUCUGGAAGUAAUGACCUAUGUCAUCAUUAACUUUAAUUCCCACACUACCUUUUUGCAUAAAUGAUUCAACCUGUCGGUGCCAGGCUUCAUCAAAACCUUUCAUACACAAUGACUGUUGGAGGAAUGGCCAUUUGACCUUAUCGUACGCUUUCUCAAAAUCCACCUUAAAAAUUACUCCAUCUAAUUUUUUGGAAUGGAUUUCAUGGAGUGUUUCAUGCAGGACGACCACCCCUUCAAGGAUAUUUCUGUCCGGCAUGAAAGCAGUUUGGGACUGUUGCACCACAGAAUGCGCAAUCUGUGUGAGCCUGUUAGUCCCGACCUUGGUGAAAAUUUUGAAACUAACAUUGAGGAGACAGAUUGGCCUGAAUUGCUCAAUUCUCACAACAUCCGUUUUCUUGGGAAGCAGUGUGAUAGUCCCAAAAUUCAAGUGAAAUAAUUGAAGCUGUCCAGAGAACAGAUCAUGGAACAUAGGCAGUAAGUCCCCCUUAAUAAUGUGCCAGCACUUUUUAUAGAACUCUGCCGGGAAUCCAUCCGGUCCGGGAGCCUUAUUGUUUUUCAUCUGUGCAAUAGCAUCAAACACCUCCUUCUUCGAGAACGGGGCAACCAGAAUAUCAUUAUCGUCAGCCGAUAGCUGGGGCACAUCCUCAGUCCUGGACUCAUCGAGGGACACACAAUUAUCUUCCGGAGGUCCAAAUAACUGCUUAUAAUAGUCGGUAAUAUAUGUUUUUAGGUUAUCCUGACCUAAAAUAGUGCCCUCGUCUUGCUCAAGCUGAAAGAUACGCUUCUUUCUGUGCUUGCCAUUAGCUAUCAAAUGGAAGAAUUGAGUAUUCGCGUCCCCUUGGACCACUUUGCGGACUUUAGCACGCAAAGCCCACUUCAAUUCUUCUUCGCGGAGCAGUUCUUUCAACCUCUUCUCCGCCUCAUUUUUAACCUGAAGCUCAGCUGGCGAUAAAAUAGUGGAUUCGGCAUGUAUGUCCAGGGCCUGUAUAAGAGUAAGGAGUCUAUCCUUUUCAAUCUUAUACACACCACUGAGGUGCUUAGCCCAACCCCGUAAGAAACUUCUCAAAUGCCUAAUCUUAUUCUGCCAACGCUCUAUCGCAGUCUUGCCUCCUACACCUCUAUCCCAUUCCCUAGCGAUCAAGUCCACGAACCCCUCACGUUCAAACCAUGACAUCUCGAAAGAGAAGGUGUUCUUGUUACCCACAUGGUUUGGCUCCCCUGAGUCCACAAACAAUGGGGUGUGAUCAGAUAUUCCCCUCGAAAGAGCUUGCACCGUAACCAGAGGGAACUUUUGUUCCCACUCCACGCUCGCAAGAACUCGAUCAAGUUUUUCAUAGGUAGGGUUUGGCAGAGCAUUAGCCCAGGUAAACUUUCUACCAGAAAGCUCUAUCUCUCUCAAAUCCAAGCUUUCAAUAAUGGUAUUGAACAUAAACGACCAUCUGCCGUCAAAGUUAUCAUUGUUCUUCUCCUCUCUCCUCCUGAUGAUAUUGAAAUCACCUCCAACUAAAAUUGGAAGCUGUUCUGACCCACAGAUUCGAACAAGUUCCGCCAGAAACUCCGCUUUAAGCUCGGGCUGUGCGGCACCAUAAACUGCCACCAAAAGCCUAGUUAAAACCAUCUAUCCUAGACCUGACUCGAAACUUCACCGCGAAGUCGCCCAUCACUACACUUCGGACUUCAAGCGAAUCGCAUCUCACACCUAGUAAGAUACCACCCGAUCUUCCUCGCGAAGGGAGGCAAUGCCAAUAGAAAUCAAUACCACCCACAAGAGAAGAAAGAAACUGGGGCACAAAGUUAUCUCUACCCGUCUCCGAUAGAGCAACAAAAUCUAACUCUGCUCUAAAGCUGCCUCAGCUAGGAAUCUUCUUUUAGCCAAGUCCUUCAGACCUCUGCUAUUCCAAAAGAUUCCUCUCAUAUUUCAUCAUGGAAUUUUUUAGUGGUUUGAAUCCUAGCACUCCUACGAACUGCGAAAUCGGGAUAGAUCUUCCUUUUCCACUUACGCUUAGGUUUACUAGGCUCUGUCGCCCGGUCCUCAUAACCAGGUUCACAUAUAUUACUAGCAUCAUUCUCUAGGGGUACAUCAUCUUCCUUAGAGUCAUGAUUGGGGGGUGCUAGAUCCGCACAUAAAUUAUCGAGCACUCUAACCCCUAACGCAUCAAUCUCAUCAUCAUUCAUUGGUUUAACUGCUGCAAGAUUACGAAUAUUCUCUAAGGCAUGUUCCGCCUCCAAAUCUAAUAGAUCAUUUACCGAAUUGGUAAUCUCACUAUCCGUAGCACCUAGUGAAACUCCUAAUUGGUUUGCAUUAUUUAUAAUCUCCUCAUUAGAAAAAUGCAAUAAGGAAUUAGAUAAGUUGACGGACAUACCAGAAGAUAAUGCAGCCUCCUGAAGCUUGGCCGCCCUCAUAGCGCACCGCUGCUGCAUAUCAUCCACCUCCGGGAUGUCGAGGAUGCGAGCACUCAUCCGUCUCCCCUCGGAGAUAGGGUCCGGGAUCCCGCCAAACGCGAAAACCUCCUCCCUAGUAAAACCUGGCACAUAGUCCCUCAAAGGGUCUACCGAGGUUACAAGAGAAGGCGUCUGCGGGCUCCCGAGCCCCUCAGAUGGGUGCCCCACACCAGGGACCCCGGCCAUGGGUAUGAGCGAAGAGGGGAUGACGGGGAUCGCCUGCCCGCGCCCUCCUCCCACCCAACCCACCGGCUCAGACGGAUGAGCCAUCGGCGAAGGAGAAGCAGUCCUCCUGACCGUCGGGGAAGAAGGAGGAGCCAAGGCCUCCUGCCCCAGCAACCCCCCAACGCAGCUGCUGCCGCGGUGGUUAUCGCCAUCACCAAAGUAGCAGGAGCCGAGGCCGCCUGCCUCGGGCUCCCUCUCCCAGCACCGUCCGACCCCCUCGGGGCCGGCGUCACCGACGCCAUCAAGAUCGGGAUGGGGAUGGGAGAAGGCGAGGCCACCUGCCCCGAACCCCCUCCCCCACGACCCAUCUCGCCCGCAGUUGCCGACAUUGGAGUCGCGUCCACGUGAGGCGCCAGGACAAGAGAAGCACCCUCCGGCCUCCUCUCCGUAGCUCCAACCAAAGUCCUUGCCGACCGUUCAGCACACAAUCCAGCAUCCUCCUUGAACUCCAACGGAGGGAGCGUGUCCUCAAGAUAAUCAUCAGAAUCUACCCGGUCACUCCAUAGUCUGGGAGGUGCCGAGGCUGGCUCAAAGGACCCAAAACGCAGAGUAGUCAUGGGCACCGCUGGUGAUGCUGCGGGCUCAACCCCGGUCCCAUCCCCAGGCAACUGAGUAGCUGGGUGAGAACCGUGCGACCCCUCUCGCGUGGGCUCAUCUGACGGUGCCCCCUUGGCCCCCGCAUUUCCAUCACUGUCGUGCAUGUCAACAUCGUUACCAUUAACCGCAUCAGCAAAUAAAUCAGUGUCCUCAAACUCGAUCUCUAGCGGGAACACCUCUCCCCUAUAGGUCCAGUUGACCUUAUCAGGCACGAACUCAAUAUCCAGAACACUCACUAAAAGCCGGGCCACCCCAUGGGCACGUGUGAAAGCCAUAUCCACUUUUUCUGUCUUCCCAACCAAGAUGCCCAUACUAGCCACCACUCGAGCAUCCUGCAAAGGCUUAGAUGGAGCCCCUCUAAACCGCAACCAGACCUGCGUAAGCGGCUUUCCCUUAGGCUCAACCUGCUUCCACUCGUGGAACUCCAGGAUACACUUAGUACCGGGGACUCUGCACAAGCCAAAGCUCAACAAUCUCUGCAAAUCAUCCACAGUUGGGAAAUCAACCUUAAAACCCUGUCCUCGAUGAGCACCAAUUCCCAUCUAAAAUCCCCGGGAGCCAGCUCCUGAAGCCUCCUCACAAUCUGUGCCUCAGUCACCUCGCCCUGGGUCGCUUUCACAAUCCCGGUAGUCAAGCUCAGGGUAUCCUCCGGGACCUCUCUCGCCGUCGGGGACUCAAAAAACAUGAGCUCAGCACAAUAGACUCCAUAAAUAUUAAGCGUCGGAGGCAGGUCACGCAACAACGGGCACUCCCCCGAGUCAUGUGCAGGCUUGCCACACGACUCACACCGUUGGGCCUCACACUCAGCAAUGAAGUGGCCCUUCUCACCACAAUGAUGGGCAGGUAGGGUUACCUAACCCAAUGCAUGAUCCUUUCCUGUAGCGCUAGAACCUCAUCUAAGCGUCGCAGACUACGCGCCACUGUUAAGGUCUUAACUGUGGCGCAUCCAUAGAUGGGCCACAGUUAAAGAAUUAUAGUGCCGGUUUGAGUUACCAACCGAUUCUAAUGCAAACCACGUGGCCGCGGUCGAGAGUGCGGUAGUGUACCUUUCGUACAGGUUGUUGUUACCAACCGGUAUUAAAGAUUAUCGCUUGAAGGCUGGAGUACAUUCAAAGAAACUAAACCAGUGAAUUGAGCAAGCAGUGGAUACAAAAGAAGAAAGGAUGUGACAAUCGAUUGAAGGCUGAUCCAAACAUCAGGAUUCAUUAGCUGGGAGAAAUUGUUUGGAUGGUUGUCUCAAACUGCUUCCUAUUUUGAGUUGUAAUACGAGUCUCUCUAAACUUAGUGGUCAAUGUGGUUGUGUUAGACGGUUUUAUGUUUGAUCUUUCUAUACUUUAGUUUGCUUUUCUUCUCAGUUGAUGCGUUUUUUGGUAUUUUCUAAAAAAAACUAUUUGUUAUGUUAUCCUUUGGUAAUGGAAGUUGGCUCCUUUUGGCGCAUCUUUUGGUGCAUGAAAAAAAGAAACAGAACCUGAACAAUCCUUGCAGGAGUAGAUUGUUUCAACUUGGAGACCGGAAGUUGCACACACGAUGGGCAAUGCGUUCAAACUUCGGAUGGAACUUUAUGCACUUGUCACUUUUUGCCACAUCUACAACAUUUCUCGAUAGUAGUUAUUUGAUGUGAAACAAAUUUCUGAAAACUGUAAAAAGGUUAAAAAAUACAAAUUUUGAGGAAAAUAUGGUAGAUAAUGAAAAAAGAACAGAAGAAAAAUGUUAAUAUUAAGCCACUCCCAUGCUAACUUGAGAGGGGUUUUACUAGAUAGUUAUCUGUGUUGGGAUUCGCAGCAUGGAAGAAAAAAAAAUAUUCUACGCAACAACGAAUAAACCCUAGCCAAGAUCCAUCUAGGAGAUGCAUGCAAUGAAACACGAAUAUGCAAACAUGGAUAACUUGAUUUACAUACCGUUGCAAAUCAGUAGCGGAAGCUCGAAGGAGGGUGUCGACGAAGUCUGAUCACGAUCUGUUCAGUCUUGGUGAUCCGCGAGAUGAUCCAAGCGCUGCAAGUGCAACGCCUCCGAGGUGAUACACACGUACAGCUAGACGACGUCGGUGCUUCUCCGUUCCAGCGGAUACACGGCGAGGUAAAGAGAUCACUUCAACGUCAUGGCGGAGUGACGAUGAACGUGGUGCAAUUCCGGCAGGGCUUCGCCCGGACGGUCCUUCGGAGAUUGCCGGAACUAGGGUUCCGACGAGAUUCCGGUGAUCACCGGCGAGAUCCGAAGAUCUAGACGUGAUCUCGGAGGAGGAGAGGAUGGAGCACCGGGCACCGGGGACGGCCAACGCGACGCGGGAGGGCAACGGCGGCAGGUGGCGACGGGGCGGCGGCGACNNNNNNNNNNNNNNNNNNNNNNNNNNNNNNNNNNNNNNNNNNNNNNNNNNNNNNNNNNNNNNNNNNNNNNNNNNNNNNNNNNNNNNNNNNNNNNNNNNNNNNNNNNNNNNNNNNNNNNNNNNNNNNNNNNNNNNNNNNNNNNNNNNNNNNNNNNNNNNNNNNNNNNNNNNNNNNNNNNNNNNNNNNNNNNNNNNNNNNNNNNNNNNNNNNNNNNNNNNNNNNNNNNNNNNNNNNNNNNNNNNNNNNNNNNNNNNNNNNNNNNNNNNNNNNNNNNNNNNNNNNNNNNNNNNNNNNNNNNNNNNNNNNNNNNNNNNNNNNNNNNNNNNNNNNNNNNNNNNNNNNNNNNNNNNNNNNNNNNNNNNNNNNNNNNNNNNNNNNNNNGGCUCGGGCGGGGCGCGGGUGGAGGCCGGGGCUGCGCGAGCACGUGUGCUCGUUGUGUUGUUUGCCUUGCCCCGGGGUCUCGUUUAUAUAGGCGGACACAAGAGGCCACGGUUUCGCAAACCGAAUAGAACUCCGUAUACCAACCCGAUUCAAACUCCACAUGCCAAAUUGGAAAGGAAAAAAGAACACACCGGAAGGAGUGGGGAGGAGGGACUCCUCUGCCUCUCCAAUUCGGCUAGGAGGGAGGAGGAGCCCUCCCCCCCAUCGACUCGGCUAGCCCAGCACGUAGUAGGGAGGCGGCCUCCUCGAGCAGCCUCCUGAUGUGCUCUCCCGCGUUCUUCAACGGCGGCAGUGACAUCCUCUCCGGCCGCAUGGCGGCGGCAGCGGACUCCGAUGCGUGCUCCGCAACGGCGGCGACCUCCUCCUCCCGUCCUCUCCGGCGCGGCGACGGCGGCUACCUCCUCCUCUUCCUGGCCCGUCUUUCCCGCGGCGGUCUUCGAGGAGAGAGAGCGAAAAAGUGGUUGAGAGCAGGACGAGGAGAUAAGGUGUGGGCUUGAUGGGAUAUAGGCCAGGCGUGGGCUGCUCCUAUAGGCACGCGAUGCUUUUUUCGGGUCGUGAUGCGCCGCACGAGAGAGCGUACGGUGCGGCACUUCUCUGUAUCAUUUUCCAACAAUGAUUCUGCCUAGGCAAAACAAUGAUGCUCAUGCAUUGUUGAUGCAUGCAUCUUUCUCGCUCUCUCUUUCUUUUUUAUGCAACGUGAUAGUAGUUUUCUUUUAUUGUUUUGAUGUGGAGACUUGGUAGUCUAGGUUACAACUUUGCGUAACCUCAUAUGUUUUUAAAGUUCAACUUUGCAUAACGUUGCUUUUCUUACGACAUUGUAUAGUGUACCCCGCCAAAAAAACAUUGUAUAGUGUCUUUUAAAACAAAGGAGGAAUAUUGUGCGAUGAAAAAACACUCCGUGGGUACUUAUAUCUAACAAAUGGCAUAUUGUUACAUAGUAUGAAAAUUUUCUAAGUCGUUACAAAUACUAUUGAACUUUUACUAGUAUUAAACCACUAGCUCGGGAGAAAAGAUCCACCUGGACUCAAAGUAUUCAAUGUCCCUCCAUGUCUUGCUCAUAGUUUGUGACUUCAUGUUGUAUUUCUCCCCCGUGUCGAUAAACUGAAUAGCAUCUUGGUACGCCUCAUCACAAGUUGAAAUAGACUUGCAGAAGAAUCUGCUGAUGAAAAGCGUUUGGCUGCCUAGCCCACCAACAAUCGGCACCCAGCAGUGGGCACCUUUGUAGGCAUCCGCCUCAUAAACCUCUACCUUGAGAGUGAAGCUGAUAUUAUAGGGGGGCACUCGAACUUGUCGUAUCACCAUUAAUAGUUUUCCACAUGACUCGACUAAGUACCAGUGGUCCCUAACUUCAUCCUCAUCAUCCGACCAAGGAGUAACGCCUUCAAGAAUCAUGUCAUCGCCGGUUUUCUUUCGGCGUUGCUCUAUGGUGUCCUCUUUGCUCUGUUCCUCAUUAUUGGCGACCUCAUCUAUAUUUCCCGUAUCAUUGUUCGCGGAGUCAAAAUUUCCAUUAUCAUCGCUCCACACUUUGAACCAAUAAUUUCCCGGUGGGUGCCUGAUGAGGCGCUCGAUAGUUGUGAUGGUGGGUACGCCUUUGUUGUCGAAAUCUAUACCAAAAGAGAGAAGAUCCUCGGCGUGAGUGAUUCCAUAUAGUUUGUCUCCAAGAAAUGCAGUGUCGACGAUGUAGAUGAAGGGCACUUUGUGGCUUAGGCAACCACACACCUUUCCCUGGCCGGAUCAAGAUGAUAGGAUAAUUCCAAUUAUUGGUCAUGACGACUAUAAUGUCGUAAGGGGUCGUCCGCAUACGCAGUUUGUGGACCCCAAAAAGCUCAGAAGCAUGGCCGAUCACAGCGUCAAGCUCUGGGAGCGGCACAGUCAUGUUGGUGAAGGGAUCAUGCAAGAAGUAGCUAUGCGUCUUCUUUCUGACAUCCGUGCGGUCGAGGAGGAGCCAACUAUCAGCCGAGGCUACGCAUCUUGCGUUCCUGGGCAAGGAGGGGAUGCGCGCGGGCGAGGUGCCGGCGGCGUCCGAAGGUGUGAGGAACGAGCCAUCGGACAUGACAAUCCAGGGGAUCUGACUUGGAGCCGGAAGGUGCCGGCUCAUAGCCAAGUGCCACGAACGACACACGGCGUGGAAGCGAGCGUGAUCGGCAGAGGCCAAGUGCCGGGCACGGCGCGCCGCUUCGAAGCCAUCGGAGAAGUGGAGGAGCCGGUGUAGUCCAGACCAUGCCGUGGAGACGAGGCCACGCCGAUCAGUGGAGGAAACGAGGCCGUCGAUGAUGAGGUGUAGCACGUCCUCGGAAAUCUCAGACAACGGCGACGCCAUUGAUUGAUUGAUGCAAGCUCUCUGGAUCUCUCUGGAUCGCGUGAAGCGUGAUAGUCGGUGCCCCGUAGUCCUGCUCUGGUAGUUUGUUCCGAUCGUAUGCAUAUAUAUGGAUCUGGUAUAACCGCAUAGGACUAUCCCCAAAUGGCCCGGUACCCUUUUUUUUUGUUCCGAAAUGGAGUAGUAAUCCGGAGGCCAGCUGAGUUCGCCGUAGUCAAGUCUCUCACCCCAGCGAAGGAAUCACGGAGGCGCGGCCAGAGUCGAGCCCCACGAACCCUCCUUCUCCGCCGUCUAACAUGGGCCACGGCCGCUGUCGACGACCGCGACGCCGUCUUCCCGAGCUCUGGCCGCCGUGCCGUUGACCAUGGCGCCGCCGCCGCUGCUCCUCCGGCCUCCCCGCUCCUUCCGUCGCACUCCUGGUGAGCAGGCCAACCUCCCCAGCCCUUCCUCCCUCUCAACCGCGUCCUGGAACAUCACCGCGCCGUGCGCCGCCUCAGAUGGUUGUCGCCGGCGUCGUUCCGGCGACUCAGAAGUAGCAGCGCCGCCCUAGCUAGGUUCGGCACGAGCCCGUGCUUCACUUCGCGCGUCCUCUGGUGGUCUGCUCCCCCGUUGCUGGCGUCGGUUAACGGCCGGUCGCCCGGGAUGACCUGGCCUGGCGGGUCCUCCGCCCGACCGUUGACCCGGGCCGCGUGGCCUGUUUGCGUGGUACGCUGACCCGAACCUAGGCACCACUGCUACGGAUACCCUAGCGGUUGCCCCCGUUCUUUUAAUUUCCAGAAAUUCUAGAUUUUGUUUUAGUCUUGUAAAUUCCAUAACUUUUAUUCUGUACUCCACUACCUCACAUCCAUGUCAAUAGAAGGCACUUUGCAGAAGGUAUAUUUUUAAAUUGCCUCUAAUAGUUACUCCCUCCGUCCGGAAAUACUUGUCAUCAAAAUGUAUAAAAAGAAAUGUAUCUAGAACUAAAAUAUGUCUAGAUACAUCUUCUUUUAUUCAUUUUGAUGACAAGUAUUUUCGGACGAAGGGAGUAUUUUAGAAGGCACUUUUUAAAAUUAUGCCUUUUAUUGUGCCUCUAAUUAAAGGCAGUUUUAAAAAAUGCCACAAAAUGUAUAUUAUUGGAGGCAUUUUCAAUAGUGCCUCAUAUAGUCUAUAUUCAAAGGCACUUUAAAUCAGUGCCACAAAUUAUCAUUGUAGGCAGUUUUUAAAAGUGCCUCCAAAUAUAUACUAUUAGAGGCAUUUUCAAUAGUGGCUCCUAUAGUCUAGAUUUAAAGGCACUUUAAACCAAUGCACUCCAAUAAAAUACAUUUUGUACACCUGCCACGACGCGUCGUACCACGUGCUCCCGGCAGCGGGGGAAUCAAACACUGGACGUGCUGCACCAGUGCACGCGCUCGCCCUGUACGUGCUAAGGGCAUCCGCAUUGAGGCUACCCAUCCGGUCCGGCUGUGUCCGGAUUUGUCCAAAAUUUGUCCGGGGGCAAAAAACAACCCUCCAGCGGCGCGUCCCAUCUGGACAGGCAUUUCCGCCGCGACCCAUCCUCGACCCAAAUUUGCGUCACGGAUGCGUCGGGCCAGACACGCCCGGACACAAAAAUGUGUCCGCCCGCGCCUUUCCGGCCCCACAUGCCAUCGACACAAAACACUUCUCAGUCUUGUUUUCUUCCUUUGUCUGCUGCCUGACCCUCCGCCGCCCCGCGAGCUCUGAUACAUUGGAAAUGUAUCUAUAAUUUUUGAUGCUCCAUGCUUGUUUAUUGCCAAUUACUUUAUAUUUUACUUAUGCUUCUUGGUGUUUUUAUUGAUUUCCUACCACUAACAUAUUGACAAGAUGCCAAAGUGGCCAGUUCCUGUUUUCUGCUGUUUUUGGUUCUAGGAGAGCUAGAAAAUAAAUAUUCUCGGAAUUGACAAAGGAAGCUAUUUUGCGAAGUUUUACACUGGAAGACUCCAGAAGCCAGAAAGAGGUUAAAACAACACUUUCUCAAAUGUACCCAGUGAAAGCGCCCGACCCAGACGGUUACCUUGCACAUUUUUUCCAGCAUCAUUGGGACAUUUGUGGUCAUGAUGUCACAAGGGCGGUUUUGAGGAUUGUUGAAGGCACUGAGUAGGUGGAGUGUAUUAAUGACACGGUUCUCGUGCUUAUCCCGAAGGUAGAAAACCCUACACUCCUCUCUCAGUUCCGACCUAUCAGCCUCUGUAAUGUGUUGUAUAAGAUUGCCUCGAAAGUUAUAUCUAACAUAUUAAAGCUAGUCCUUCCUGAUAUCAUCUCAGAGGAGCAGUCUGCAUUUAUUCCUGGCAGAUUAAUAACUGAUAACAUCAUUACAGCCUAUGAGUGCCUUCAUUUUAUGAAGAGGAAUAAGGCCAAGAAACAUCAAUCCUAUGCUCUAAAGCUUGACAUGAUGAAAGCCUAUGAUAGAGUGGAAUGGGAUUAUUUAUAGGCGAUAAUGCUUAAACUGGGCUUCUCUGAAAGAUGGGUCCAAAUUGUGAUGAGCCUGGUGACAACUGUGAAAUUUUCAGUGUUGUUCAAUGGAAAGAAAUUGCAACAAUUCAUACCUUCAAGAGGAAUCAGACAAGGGGACCCAAUAUCUCCGUAGUUGUUCUUGAUAGCAGCAGAGGGCCUGUCGUGCCUUCUAAAAUCAAAAAGUGAGUCAUCCAACUUGCAUGGUCUAUAGGUAGCUCCUUUGGCACCACCGGUGAAGCAUCUUCUAUUCGCUGAUGACAACCUGCUGUUCUUCAAGGCGAACGGUGGUGGAGCCAAUGAGGUGUACCAUGUUCUGAACACGUACUGUUAGGCAACAAGUCAACGUAUCAACUAUUCCAAAUCGUUCAUAUAUUUCAGCAAAGGAGUAUCGGAUUCUAUCAGACAGGAAAUCAAAGAAACACUAAAUGUCCCCAAUGAAACCCUAAAUGAGAAGUACUUGGGGAUGUCGUAUGAUAUUGGCUGCUCUAAGAAUGGUUCGUUCAAGUAUUUGAAGGACCGGCUCUGGGGAAAGCUGCAGGGAUGGAUAGAGCGCACUAUGUCCUUAGCAGGCAAAGAAGUUCUAGUCAAAUCGGUGGCACAAGCAGUACCAGUCUUUUUGAUAUCUUGUUUGAAGCUACCUCGGGGCCUUUGUGAGCAUCUAAAUAAGUUGGUAAGAACAUUUUGGUGGGGGAGUAAAGUAGGAAAAAGGAAUCCCAAUUGGGUUUCUUGGAAAACAAUGACCCAACCAAAAGGAAUGGGAGGUCUAGGCUUCAAGGAUUUCAAACUUUUCAACCUUGCAAUGCUCGCUAAGCAAGCUUGGCGCCUGCUUCAAACUCGUGACUCGCUAAGUGCUCGAGUGCUAAAGAGUGUAUAUUAUCCAAAUGCAGACAUCUUGCAGGCUGAGCUGGGUAAUCACCCAAGCUAGAUUUGGCGGGAAUCAUUGAGGGUAGAGAUAUCAUGAAACAUGGCCUGGUUAGACGGAUUGGAAAUGGAGAAACCGCGGAAAUAGGGAAUCAUAAUUGGCUGCCUAGAGAGGAGUCUUUUAGACCAUAUGGCUAUCGCGUUCUGAACCCACCAACAAGAGUCUCAGAGCUCAUCACGAGCACGACAACGUCAUGGAUUGUAACAUCCCAAAUUUUCAAUUUGGAAUGUUAUACAUUAGAUCAUCAUUGCAUACCAUAUUUUAUUUUGCAUUUUGGUUGAUCCUAGAAAUUCUACGCAACUCAAUGACCCACGGAGAGAGUUGGGGAUUUCAUUAUUUUCAUAUUUGAGUUUUCUCAAAUUUUGAGAAUAGGAUCAUUUGAUUUUAUUUAUUUUAUCAUCAAUUAUUUCUAUUACAAAAAUAUGAGAGAGGGAAUAAAAUGACUUUCCCAAAAUAGAGAAAUAUUGAGGAUUUAAUAAUAAAAUCAAAUAAGAUUUUAUUUCGGAGUUUUUCGGUGUUUUAUUUGAAUUUAGGAAAAAUGUGUGUUUUUCAAAAUUGCAUUUAGGUCCUAAGUAAAUGUGCACCUUGUGCGGCUUGAUUUUAGAAGCCCGUGAAAAUUUAUUUCGGAAUUUUUGGAGUCUGUUUAGUAUUUCUUUUUAUUUUUCUUCUUGGCAUAAAUAUUUAAAAAAAACGCGCACCGACCUACGGGCCGUGUCCGACCUGGACACCGGCCCGGGGCAGGCUUUAAAAGCCGGGGGAGAGGCCCAGCCGGGAGAGCCAGCGCCCAGCCCCGAAACCCUAGCCGCCCCGCGCCGCCGCCGCUCCGCCGCCGCCGCCCGCUCGCCGAGGUCCGCCGCCGCCUUGAAAUCCGUGCUGGUUUUUUUCUUGGAAAAACCGUUCGGUUUUUCCGUCAGUUUUUUUAGUUUCGGUUUUUUAAAUAGAUCUGUUUUUCCGGUUUAUUUAAUUUAGCGAGCGUUCGUCGUUUUUUUCUUUUUCUCGGAUUAAAUCCGCGAUUUUUCUGAUCGCGAUUCCUGAUCCGAUUUUCGUUUUAGUAUAACUUUUUGCUCGUUUAUCGGAAUCAGGCGAUUCAAGUGCCUAGAGUUUCGUCUCGAAACCCUCUAUCCGUUUAAUCAACUUAAACAAGAUUUUGCUACUGUAAAAUUUGCCCUAGAUCCAGAUUAGUAGAACGAAGUUGUUUUCUUUCGCCGUUUGACUUUCGUUGCUUCGUUCGAUUUGAUUCUUUUUGCCAACCGGAGUUCUUAAGUUGAACCUUCUGGUUAGAUCUCUUAUUUGAGUUUUACCCGUGCAUUAGAUGAGUUCUUAUUGUAUGCUUGUUUGUUUGUUUGCGAUAGAAUACCCGGAGUGCGCCGCCUGUUACUUCGAAUCGCUAGGUUUCCCGAAUCAUCAGCAAGGCAAGUAACACUUUGAUCAUACCUUUUCUACUACCCAGUUUUAUUGCAUUAGAUCAAUCCUCACACAUUGCAUGGUUAGGAUCUAACUAAAUUAUGGGAUGGGAAGUAGAUGAGGUAGUACCUAUUACCUCUUUAUUAUCAAACCUUUGGAAGUUACUUCUACGUUUGCUUAUUAUGCCAUGCUAUGCUAGUAGACGUGGAUUGGGUGAGGGAUAUCCAUGACAGAUGUGAGUUUUGUUAAUUAAUGGUUUAUCUAAGGUGGCAACUUAAACACACAUCUGGGUGGAUUGAGGUACCUGGAUAUUCCAGGACUUGCCUGUUUUCUUUUGGACCGCCACCCAGGCUCAAAGGGAUCAUGAAACUAUUCAUACUAGAAACUUCCGUGUGCAGCCACAAGCUAUUAUGGGCUCUAGCAUAGUUGACUCAGUCGUGCGAACUCUUACAGUGGUAGACUAGCAGAUGUAGGGGAUGUAGGUGGUAUGGUCUACCCGAUCGUAAGGUGCUAGCGCUUCUGAAAAGACUAUGUCUCAGUCAUCCGUUUCUCAAACACCAUGUAGUGCGAGAAACCAAACGGAGGCGAUUGAGUCUUGUGGGGAAAAGUGCGCAAACCUCUACAGAGUGUAAUAAACUAAUCAUGGUUAGUCGUGUCCCCGGUUAUGGACAUGUUGAGUAUCUAGUACUUGGAUUAUCAUGUGAAUCUCAACAUGUUACUCUAAAUUAAUUUUGUUGGGUUAUGUUUAAUGAUGAUGCUUAAUUGGGAUUGAGAAUGCUAUCAACCAUUCUCAAAGUUUUACAACUACCAUGAUAGUUAAAUAAAUUGUAUUCCUUUGAAGUAGGGAAAAAUUGGCUUUACGCAAAACUGUAACCAUAGAGCUUUCCACCAGCCAAAUAUGCAUAUAGUAUAGCUGUUUCAUUCCAUUACUCUCUAUGUGUUACUUCGCCAGCAUAUUCCAUGUGCUGACCCGUUUUCAGGCUGCAACGUUAAUGUUGCAGACUUUUCAGACGACGAUUAAGGAGUUUUAGGUGGUGGUUCUAUACUCAGUGAUGCUGUUGGAGUUGAUGGACUCAC
rnacentral:lncRNA from 1 species